rnacentral:rRNA from 1 species
AACGCUGGCGGCGUGCCUAACACAUGCAAAGUCGAACGGAGAUUUAAACGCUGAUGAGGCUUCGGCGGAUUCUGUUUAAUCUUAGUGGCGACGGGUGAGUAACGCGUGGGCAACCUGCCUCAUACUGGGGGAUAACAGUUGGAAACGACUGUUAAUACCGCAUAAGCGCACGGAGUCGCAUGACUCAGUGUGAAAAACUCCGGUGGUAUGAGAUGGGCCCGCGUCAGAUUAGCUAGUUGGUGAGGUAAAGGCCCACCAAGGCGACGAUCUGUAGCCGGACUGAGAGGUCGGACGGCCACAUUGGGACUGAGACACGGCCCAAACUCCUACGGGAGGCAGCAGUGGGGAUAUUGCACAAUGGAGGAAACUCUGAUGCAGCGACGCCGCGUGAGUGAAGAAGUAUUUCGGUAUGUAAAGCUCUAUCAGCAGGGAAGAAAGGCUCGCAAGAGAGAUGACGGUACCUGACUAAGAAGCCCCGGCUAACUACGUGCC